CAGCAUUCUUCCUAUUUAAAGCUGCAUCGCUUGAAAAAAGUUUUCGCAGACUGUGCUGGAGCUGGUGCUGAAAAAGGGGGUUUGCAGAGGCUGCCCUGGGGCUGGUGCUGAAAGAAGAGCCCACAGCUGACUUCAUGGUGCUACAAUAACCUCAGAAUCUACUUUUCACUCUCAGGAGAACCCACAUGUCUAAUAUUUAGACAUGAUGGCAAACUGGGCGGAAGCAAGACCUCUCCUCAUUCUUAUUGUUUUAUUAGGGCAAUUUGUCUCAAUAAAAGCCCAGGAAGAAGACGAGGAUGAAGGAUAUGGUGAAGAAAUAGCCUGCACUCAGAAUGGCCAGAUGUACUUAAACAGGGACAUUUGGAAACCUGCCCCUUGUCAGAUCUGUGUCUGUGACAAUGGAGCCAUUCUCUGUGACAAGAUAGAAUGCCAGGAUGUGCUGGACUGUGCCGACCCUGUAACGCCCCCUGGGGAAUGCUGUCCUGUCUGUUCACAAACACCUGGAGGUGGCAAUACCAAUUUUGGUAGAGGAAGAAAGUCAACUCUUUGGAUUUGAUCUAUGUGGAAACUGAAGCAAAAUAGCUUUACAUAUUUCACACGCUGGAUUUUU
rnacentral:lncRNA from 1 species